UACAGAGGCCCCGAGCGUUACCCGGAAUCACUGGGCGUAAAGGGUGUGUAGGCGGCAGUGUUAGUCUUCUGUGAAAGCUCGCGGCUCAACCGCGAAUCCGCAGAGGAAACGGCACCGCUAGAGGAUGCGAGAGGUCAAGGGAACUCAUGGUGUAGGGGUGAAAUCCGUUGAUAUCAUGGGGAACACCGAAAGCGAAGGCACUUGACUGGCGCACUCCUGACGCUGAAACACGAAAGCGUAGGUAGCGAAUGGG
rnacentral:misc_RNA from 1 species